rnacentral:lncRNA from 1 species
AACCAUCAUAUUUUAGGAUGUUAGUGUCCUCACCGGACUACCAGUUGAUGGUAAGACAGUUAUAGGAGCUGAUCCUACUCUUAGCAUUCCAGAGUGGCAGGCUAUGUGCUACUGAUUACUAGGGUUUCAGCUCGAGAUGCAGUUUUUUGAUCAUUCAUGACUGAGGAUGGAGUGUUUAGAUAAUCAUUAUCGAUAUUUGUACAUU